UACGGAGGGUGCAAGCGUUAUCCGGAUUCACUGGGUUUAAAGGGUGCGUAGGUGGGUUGGUAAGUCAGUGGUGAAAUCCCCGAGCUUAACUUGGGAACUGCCAUUGAUACUAUCAGUCUUGAAUACUGUGGAGGUCAGCGGAAUAUGUCAUGUAGCGGUGAAAUGCUUAGAUAUGACAUAGAACACCAAUUGCGAAGGCAGCUGGCUACACAAAUAUUGACACUGAGGCACGAAAGCGUGGGGAUCAAACAGG
rnacentral:rRNA from 1 species